UACGUAGGCACCAAGCGUUGUUCGGAAUUACUGGGCGUAAAGAGUGUGUAGGCGGUGCUCUAAGUUCGGUGUGAAAUCUCCUGGCUCAACUGGGAGGGUGCGCCGGAAACUGGGGUGCUGGAGCGCGGGAGAGGAAAGCGGAAUUCCUGGUGUAGCGGUGAAAUGCGUAGAUAUCAGGAGGAACACCGGCGGUGUAGACGGCUUUCUGGACCGUAGCUGACGCUGAGACACGAAAGCGUGGGUAGCAUACAGG
rnacentral:rRNA from 1 species